AGCAAAACCAGUUGUAAAUAUUCCAAAAAGAGAUCCAGUUAGGAAAACUCUUUUAGCAGGGAAGGAAAAAAAAAGUUGUUUUGUAAAAAGAAGUCUUCACACAAAAUUAACCCUUCGUGGUCUGCUUUUUAGAUCCGGGGAAGUUAUUGGGUGUUUCCAGAGGAGUUGUAUCUCUACAACAUCUGGUAUUGGUCACUACUGGGAUUCUUGUAACAUGCCACAAAUUCAGAUUAUGUCACGGAACUGACAGUGUUCUUAGUCUUUUUUACAAAUGAGACCAUCUGCUCUGCUAGGAAUGCUUAAGGUGUCUAUGCCAUUUCGUGCAACCUGUGAGAGAUAAAGUCUCACCCUAGAUAACUUACAUCAUGCUACAGUUCAGUGUGACUUGGGAGACAGUGGUAUUUAACUGUAAAUAGUUUAGGUAAAUUAAAGUCAUACAUUUUAAAGCCAAAAGCCCAGUACACUUUUCUACACCUUCUGAACCAUAAAUUCAUGAGUUUUGUGCAGAAACCAAAUAUUAUAAACUGGAGUGGUAUGACUCAACCCCAAGGAGUAGUGGGGAAACAUACGCUGUCCUCUUGGUUGUAGGAUUGUGACCUCUCUGGAUGGCCAUACAGCUUUGCUGCAUGUGGCUUCCAUCAAGACUUCCAUGUAAUAACUGCCAAUCUUUUAGCUUACACUCCUCAAGACUGGAAAACCAAAGAACUUCUGAGGAUGGAACUCUUCUCUGGAUGGAAAAUCCUCUCUGGACUCAAGCUGAUUUCAUGGAGGCCAAAGUAACACAUAACACAAGUUUAAUCAGGGAUUUCUGCUUAGAAAGAAGAACCACACAAGCACCUGCACAUCCAUCAAAGAAUCCCAGAGUGGGUAAUGAUAAUUAUUAUGUUUAUUAUUUUACUUGUAAAACAGUAAAAUUCAGGCUGUGUUAAGCUCUGUAUAAUAACAUUUAUCCUUACUACAACUCUACAAAGCUAUUGUUGCAAGAAUAAAAUUUGCUUAUUU
rnacentral:lncRNA from 1 species